UCUCUCGACUCCCGACAAAAACAGCCCAUCCUCGACUCCCCAUCUCUCUCCCUGCCCAUCCUCGUUUGGCCUAGCGGUGGUCCAAGGCCCUCCCUAUCCACGCACCACCUUCAUUCCUCUCUCAAUCACGACCUCCCUUUCUCUCUCUCUCUGAAGCUCGAUUCAAUUAGAUUCACGAACGCGAGGAAUCCCUCUCUCUCUCUCUCUCUCUCUCUCUCUCUCUCUCUCUCUCUCUCUCAAUGUUGAUUUAUGAAUUUGGGGAUUUAGUAAUUUGUGGAUUUCCAAUUCGAAUGUGGACCCUCAUUUAGGGAUUUGGGGAUUUUAGGGCUUACAGAUUUGAAUGUAGACCUUGAAUUUGGUUUUUGUGAUUUUACAAAUUGGGGAUUUGGGGAUUUUAGGAUUUUGGGAAUCCGAGAAUUUUUAGAAUUAGGGAUUUCACCUUCCAGAUUUGAGAGAGCGAUUUUGGUCUCAAGUAUAGUUGGAAUGGGGCUGGAGGAGUGGCUGCUUUGUGGCAUUUGUUUGCUCCCUGUUUGUAAUUGUUGUUGAUUGCAUAGAUAUGGAGACAUACAGAUAUGGCUUAGGUUUCCUAUUCUUUCAACAUGCAUGCAGGGCUCUCUUUCAUCUUCCAUAGAUUCUAUUGCCUCUUUUACUUAUUCUUAUAUUUGUUAGACAGGAAGAAGUAUAGCAUUAGUAAAAGUAUAUUUUGUAAGGAUUUAUUUGAUUUGUUGGCAGAGUAUUAGUAUUAUCUCUAUGCGAAUACCCAGUGUAAACAUGGCAUUAGUGUUUCUCGAUCAGAACCAUCUAGGUAGUGGGGCCCAUUAUGUGUCUUUCACCACUAAGAAAUCAUUCUAAAUGAUUGAUCCCACUUCCUGUCCUUGUGGCCAUCAAAACUAAGAAAUCACUUCAUGUGUUUGAAGGCUUUAUCCUUGUAAUCUUCUUUAGAUUGACACCCGGCCACUGAAACUACAAUUUUCUUAUGUUAUAUAAAAUCCGAGGAGUCAUGGCUAUCCUUUACUCAAGAGGCUUAUAUCUUACAUAACAACAAGGUAAGAUCUCACAACUUCUCCAUUUUUUUUGCUAUACAAUGAUGCAAACGACCUUUGUGACAUCAGUGGACUCCAUUUUUAGCAUUGCUUUCAAGAGGUAAUUGCUUGUGAGAGAACCUCAUGUUAAAAUCCAAGUUACCUCAUUUAGUGUAUGGAAACAUGAAAUCUAAUUUUACUUUGGGUUUAAACUGAAAUUACAUGUGCAUAUAGAGCUGAUUCUUCAGGGUACUUAUAAUUUAUGUAUUGAUAAUGAAAAUUGAGUGGUUAUCAGAUUUUUGUUGGGAAAUAAUGCAGUGGAAAGGAACUGCAGUGUAUUUCCAAGAGCAGGGGUUUCAUACUAUGCUUGCCCUGUUCUUUCGUUGGAGACCCUGGUUUUUUCGCUGUGUCCUUACAUUACAUUGUAUAGAGCAUGUUCUACUGUAGGUUCCUGUCCUCCCUAGCUUAAGUGUUUAUUUCAGCUUUAUAGAUACAAUGACAGGUGGUGUGUGCUCCCACUUUCUUUGAAAAAGCAAAGAAAGGAAGGAAUUGUAAAUUUGAAGCUCUUAUGAAGCUCUGGUCCUUUCUUUACUUUUCCUUUCUUUUCUCUUUGGUCCAAACCUCUUUUGUAUUUGAGGUUGGUGGCACUGAAAUUCUAUGCAGCAAGACCUCACAUGUGUGUUCACUUGCUUUUGCAGUCUGAUGGGUUUCCUACGCUUCUUUUCUUCCCAGCAGGAAAUAAGAACUUUGAUCCGUUUGCCUACUUGUGAAGAUAAUCUAGUUCUGCACUCCAUCUAUGCCGCUGGAAAUUGCUGCUGCCGCUACUGUUUGAUCAGAUUUGGUGGCAGGGUUGACGAACAACUCUUGAUUAGCAGAAUCACACAAAGUGCGUCACUGUAUGAGGAAGCAUCCUGUACUUGGCCAACAUGUGCUUGAUGUUGCAAAGUAGCAUUCGGUAGCAGCUACAAAGAAGGGAUACGGAUAUUCCAACUGCAAACAGAACAAGCCAAGCUUCUCAUCCAGUCCAUUCAUAUACUAUACAUCCUGGCUAUAGGGGUGUUGCUAGAUGACCUUCUUGUGGCUGAAGAUCUAGCUACUGCUAAAACAACAAGUGCUGCUUCACACAUGCUGCAGCAGCAGCUGCUGCAACCAAUGUACAAGCAGGGAGAUUACCUACAAGAUACACAUUUGUUGAUGAAAGAACAAGACAAGAAAUUCCUGAAGCAGGUGUUGAGGGUGCUGUUGUGCUGGGUAGCCUGGUUGCCCCUCCUAUAAAUGGAAUAUGUACACCAGUAUAAGUGCUGAGAAUGCAAUGCUUCAAAGGUAAGCUAUUGGAGAUCUAUAUUUUGUUUAAUAGAUCAAAUUUUGUUUUGAUAUACUCUACGAUUGUAUUCCCUGAGGACCUGAUGCAAAUUAUUGAAUAGCACUUAAAAAUAUCUUUAUCA